GUCGCUACUACCGACUGGAACAUAUCGUGAGCCUGUCGGAUUGAGCCGAGCUGGCUGGCAACAGUCGGCCCGUGCCCGAGAAGACCGGCAAACGGCGUGUUUUGGAGGAAGUAA
rnacentral:rRNA from 1 species